ACUCCUACGGGAGGCAGCAGUGGGGAAUAUUGCACAAUGGGGGGAACCCUGAUGCAGCCAUGCCGCGUGAAUGAAGAAGGCCUUCGGGUUGUAAAGUUCUUUCGGUAGCGAGGAAGGUGCUUUGUUUAAUAGACAAAGCAAUUGACGUUAACUACAGAAGAAGCACCGGCUAACUCCGUGCCAGCAGCCGCGGUAAU
rnacentral:rRNA from 1 species